AAUGUGGCUCGUGUGUUGGCUUUAAAACUAGAACCUUUCUUACUGCCUCCAACGACGAAAAAUUUUGCAAUCACUCAAAUACAGAAAUAUAU